rnacentral:rRNA from 1 species
UACGGAGGGUGCGAGCGUUGUCCGGAAUCAUUGGGCGUAAAGGGCGCGUAGGUGGCGGCUUAAGCGUGCGGUGAAAGCUCGGGGCUCAACCCCGAGUCGGCCGUGCGAACUGAGUCGCUUGAGCACUGUAGAGGCAGGCGGAAUUCCGGGUGUAGCGGUGGAAUGCGUAGAGAUCCGGAAGAACACCGGGUGGCGAAGGCGGCCUGCUGGGCAGUAGCUGACACUG